AUGAGAGUUGAUCUUGGACAAAAUUUAUUUGACAAAUUUGAAGAAAACAGAGCCAAAAUCAUGGAUAUAGGCAUGAAAUUUAGGGUGGACGAGGCAGCACAAAGCCCAGCACAGCCAUGUAUCACCAAAUCCUGCAGAUCCACUCACUGAGGUAGAAGCACCUAGGAACCCCACUUGACAGCAACGAUUUCAAACCCAGUUUCAUGUAUUUUUAAGGGAAUGAUGAAAAAGUCCCCAUCCUCUUCUUCUUGGCAAAAGCUCUGAACAACUCAGAACAAAGAAGCAAAGUAGCUGCAGUUCCUGUUUUUACCGACAUGCACAUGCAUGCUAAACCUUGACUUACAAAGCGUUUAUACUUAUUCGUGAAAAAGGUGAGUCACCUACGUCUGCAAUUGUCACAUGUAAGUUAUUUAUUUCCCUGCCAUAUUCCCCCACCUGGCUUACUCUGUAUUGGAAAACAUACAUAAAUGAACAAACAUGCUUUAAAUGGCUUAGCUAGAAGUUUUAUCUACUUCAAAGCCUUUGUUCUUUUUCUAGGUGCAGCACCUGCUAUUGCGUUGUUAUUGUUUGUGUUGCCUGGGAUUUAAUCAGGAGGCCUUACAAAAGUUUUAUGUGAUGAGAUACAGCUAAAGCCUGGAUUUUUAGAUUCUGUGCACCUCAGUAUUAUGGCCAGAUAAUCCUAUUGACAAAGGCCACUUGAAAGGAAGAUAUUUUAUUAUAGAUCUGUAGAUUCAUUCACUUUAAAAAUAUUUAAGAGAUAGUAAUGUUAGACUUUUUUUUAAGAGUAUCAAUAAAUUACUUACCAAAACAGCCUCA
rnacentral:lncRNA from 1 species